GAUGAACGCUAGCGGCAGGCUUAACACAUGCAAGUCGAGGGGCAGCGCGGGGUAGCAAUACUCUGGCGGCGACCGGCGGACGGGUGAGUAAUGUGUAGAGAAUCUGCCCUAGAGCGGGGGACAACAGUUGGAAACGACUGCUAAUACCCCAUAUGCGCGUACUUGAGAUAGUAUUCGUGAAAACUCCGGUGCUCUGGGAUGAGUCUGCAUCUGAUUAGCUAGUUGGCGGUGUAAUGGACCACCAAGGCGACGAUCAGUAGCUGGUUUGAGAGGAUGAUCAGCCACAAUGGGACUGAGACACGGCCCAUACUCC
rnacentral:rRNA from 1 species